GCUUGAGCAGAUACUGGCACCUAGCUGACCCUGGCUGAUCACAGAAAACUAAGCAGAGUUGAACCUGGUUAGUACUUGAAUGGGAGAUCAUCAGGAAAUUCCAGGACUGCAACCU
rnacentral:rRNA from 1 species